GACGUAGGGCGCGAGCGUUGUCCGGAUUUAUUGGGCGUAAAGAGCUCGUAGGCGGCUUGUUGCGUCGGCUGUGAAACUCCGUGGCUUAACUGCGGGUCUGCAGCCGAUACGGGCAGGCUCGAGUUCGGUAGGGGAGACUGGAAUUCCUGGUGUAGCGGUGAAAUGCGCAGAUAUCAGGAGGAACACCGGUGGCGAAGGCGGCUACCUG
rnacentral:rRNA from 1 species